rnacentral:rRNA from 1 species
UACAGAGGGUGCGAGCGUUGUCCGGAAUCACUGGGCGUAAAGGGCGCGUAGGCGGCUUUUCACGCGUGCGGUGAAAGCUCGGGGCUUAACUCCGAGUCUGCCGUGCGAACGGGGAGGCUUGAGUCUGGUAGAGGUCGAUGGAAUUCCGGGUGUAGCGGUGGAAUGCGUAGAGAUCCGGAAGAACACCGGUGGCGAAGGCGGCCAGCUGGGCCGGUUCUGACGCUGAGGCGCGAAAGCGUGGGGAGCAAACAGG